GUGAACGCUGGCGGUAGGCCUAACACAUGCAAGUCGAACGGCAGCACAGUAAGAGCUUGCUCUUACGGGUGGCGAGUGGCGGACGGGUGAGGAAUACAUCGGAAUCUACUUUUUCGUGGGGGAUAACGUAGGGAAACUUACGCUAAUACCGCAUACGACCUACGGGUGAAAGCAGGGGAUCUUCGGACCUUGCGCGAUUGAAUGAGCCGAUGUCGGAUUAGCUAGUUGGCGGGGUAAAGGCCCACCAAGGCGACGAUCCGUAGCUGGUCUGAGAGGAUGAUCAGCCACACUGGAACUGAGACACGGUCCAGACUCCUACGGGAGGCAGCAGUGGGGAAUAUUGGACAGUGGGCGCAAGCCUGAUCCAGCCAUACCGCGUGGGUGAAGAAGGCCUUCGGGUUGUAAAGCCCUUUUGUUGGGAAAGAAAAGCAGCAGGUUAAUACCCCGCUGUUCUGACGGUACCCAAAGAAUAAGCACCGGCUAACUUCGU
rnacentral:rRNA from 1 species